GACGAACGCUGGCGGCGUGCUUAACACAUGCAAGUCGAACGAAGAGCGAUGGAAGCUUGCUUCUAUCAAUCUUAGUGGCGAACGGGUGAGUAACGCGUAAUCAACCUGCCCUUCAGAGGGGGACAACAGUUGGAAACGACUGCUAAUACCGCAUACGAUCCAAUCUCGGCAUCGAGGAUGGAUGAAAGGUGGCCUCUAUUUAUAAGCUAUCACUGAAGGAGGGGAUUGCGUCUGAUUAGCUAGUUGGAGGGGUAACGGCCCACCAAGGCGAUGAUCAGUAGCCGGUCUGAGAGGAUGAACGGCCACAUUGGGACUGAGACACGGCCCAGACUCCUACGGGAGGCAGCAGUGGGGAAUCUUCCGCAAUAGACGAAAGUCUGACGGAGCAACGCCGCGUGAGUGAUGACGGCCUUCGGGUUGUAAAGCUCUGUUAAUCGGGACGAAAGGUCCUCUUGCGAAUAGUUAGAGGAAUUGACGGUACCGGAAUAGAAAGCCACGGCUAACUACGUG
rnacentral:rRNA from 1 species